UAUAAAAUGCUUGACUUGAAAUGAUACAACAUUAACAGAGUCUAAACCCAUGCAUAUCUUGAAAGGUUUACCUGGAUCUGGAGGUGUCUUGGGAGCAGGAGGUGUACCAGGAGCUGGAACAGGAUUGGUAGGAGGUCCUGGCGUUCUGCCUGGAGGGCUUGGGACCGGUGUUGGAUAUGGAGGUAAAGUUUUAAAAACUUUCAUUAGAUGUGAAAUACUAAUUACUAAAAUUGAAGUAUGUCAUCUAAGCAUUGGUGGGUGAACCUGCUGUUUUGUUCAUUUUAUUCUAAAGGGUAUGGAGGAGCACAAAAACCACCUAAAUAUGGUAAACCACUUCUGGUACUUAAUUUUUAUAAUUAAAAUAUCACAUGUAUAGAGACUAAGAUUUGACCCCAUGCAUUCCAUCUAGGACAACCAGCUGGUGGGGUCGGAAGUGCGUUGGGUGGGUCGGUACCAGCAACUGGUGGAACUGGGGCCACAGGAACCGGAAUUGGAACUGGUGAUAAUAACUGCUAAAAGAGGACUAAAUAACAGGUAAUAGAUACAAAUAGGAAUGUGUUUACAUGCUCAGCGUUACAUCACAGGUGGUGUAGGUGGGGCUGGAGGCACACCAGUUUCAGGAACCAAGCCAGACAAAUAUGGUGAGUUGGCAAUCUAUGGUUAUAUCAUCUAACCAUCCAUAUCUCCAGUAAAAUAUU
rnacentral:lncRNA from 1 species